rnacentral:misc_RNA from 1 species
AACUCUCAACCCUUUUACCUUUGUCUUCUUGGGAAUUAGGGCUUGGAUCAUGAGUGCCUGCUGGACCUGUGCAUCAGCUCACUCUAAAUGCAUCAGUGGUCUGCUCUCUCUUUGUCUGCAGAUUGUCCUGGCGUAAUAGGUUUUAUUCGCUGGGUCCUGUGGUACCGGUGGAGUGUUGCAAGCCAUUUUCAAACAUCUCUUAAGU